ensembl:lncRNA
AAACCUUCUGGGAUCAGCUCGUUUCCACCACAUUUCCAAGGAAGGUUGAUGCAGGGAUUCUGCUGUCAGGGAAAAACCUUCCCUUCCCCUUUGAAAACAGUGACCAGGUCUGGGUUUUGUCUCCUUCUGAAUAAUUUAAGAUGUUCUUGCCGGACCGACCCUCAGAAAAGACUCAGAUUGCAGCUGCAGCCUCCAGCCGUGUUCCCUCCCCCCAAACAUGCGUCUGUGUACAUUGAGCUGCUGUUGCAAAGCAGCUGUUUUAAUGUGUUCUUCCUUUAAUGCAGCAAAAGUUGCUACGCUUUUUUAAUAGUUUCCACUCUCCCUCCUCUUUUUCCAGGCCGGUACUGGUUUUUAUACCACAGAGAUGUUUGCCUUUUGGGGGGAUAAUUGGCAGCAAAUGGUUCUCCAGGGAGCUGCCUCUGAGGACCCUGCAGACCCCAACAACCCCCCCACCCCGCUCGCUGGGCGAUGGAUGUUACGCAACAUUAGGGGACGUCACCUCUGAGGAAUGCGAGAAAGGAGGGGGCACUUGCUGUGGCACCAGGGCGGUCGCAGUCGCAAAGACUCAUCAUGAUCCAGAUCCAGUCCAGGUCUUUGGGGACCAGGACGGCUGUUCUGCCCUUUAAAACCACCAUCGCUUGAGGAGCUCCACGUUUGUUACCCUUGACCUCAACGUCACUGCGAGAGAGCCAACACAACUGAGACGCGACCUGAAAGACAAUCGGGCUCCAAAAGCAACCCAGCCGAGGCGGGGAUCUGGUAUUCGCACCACGUGGACCCCAGUUUCAGGGUAGUCUGUAGGGUUUUUCGUUCGUCCACAUUUCAGGCAUAUUUUUUUGUUUGUGUGAGGAAUUAUCAGCUAAAAGACCUUAAAAAAACAGCCUGAAUCGAUUCUCGACUGAUUUUUCUCUGUCUUGAAUCUUUGAGCGCAUGUCUGCAGGCUGUGAUUAGGCCAUACUGAUCCCUGAGCUGCGUGCAUGUGUGUGUGUGUGUGUGUGUGUGUGUGCCCUUUUGCCCCCUAUGUUGUCAGACAUAAUCUCAGCAGUUAGAGGGAUGAGACGGAGGGAUUAUUUGUGUGUCUGACGUGGAUUCCUGCCUCCUCAGGUAUUAAAGCCGACAUGAUGACGGCGUUCCUUUGCCCGAGCACCAGCACACCCAUCACUUCCACUCUAAUCGUCCCAGUGCUGAACCCACAGGAAGAGACGUGAUGGAUUUCAAAGUAAACUUGUGCUGAGGCUCCUGAUGGCAGGCUCUUUAGAUUGUCCUUGAAAAGUGUGCGAUGAUGAAAACAACAGGGCAGAUGAAGAGAGAGUGAAAGAGGCAGAAAGAAAGAGGAUGAAAGAAGAUAAAGAAGUGCUGAAUCCCGUUGAUGUGGACCACCUGAACCUACAGCCAUCUGUCCCUGGUCCGAUACUACACCAUCAGCUCCGUCAGGGAGCAGCAGAAUUGGCCAGAACUGAGCAUCUGUGGGCCUGGAUCCUCCAGACAGACGGGCUUUGAUUCUGGCUCCUGUCACUCCCAGUCUCCCUCUUCACAUGUGCGCCACCCUCACCUGUCCGUUGUGUUUCACCUGUGUCUCGUUGACCCAGAAACCCAGCGUCUGACCCCCUAGCAAGCAACGAUGCCAGGGAAAACUCCCUUUAAACAGGAAGAAACCUUCAACGGGACCCGUGAACACCCGCGUUAGUUCAUUUUAUUUCAGGGAAUCUCAUUAGUGUGUUUUCACGCCACGGCUCGUGUUUUCAUGACUGUGUGAUUCCACUUUAUCGCCUGUUCUUGUUGUCUGUUUAACACACUCUGCUCCUUCCAUCUCGAUUACCUGCCUGGAUGAGAUUGAUUCAGUCAUAUAAUCAGCAAAUAAACAGUUAACUGAAUACGCAAACACACACUUCACACACACACACACACACACACACACACACACUCACUUUUGUCCUGUUUCCAGCCGUCUUUUGUGCUCAGUGGCAGCUGAGGCUGAAUGACCUGCCUGUGCGCUCUGUCCCGCCCUGGGUCACGAACCAGGCCGGACAAAAACAGAGCUUCAGACCCAAGAUGAAGGCAGCGACGGAGGCUCCUUCACAAGCAAAAGCUCUUUUAUUGCUGGUGUGCUUCGGGUCCAUCCACUCAGGUAUGU